rnacentral:pre_miRNA from 1 species
AAAAAGACAAACCCUGGUUUCCGUGUCCAACUUUUGACCGUCCGUCUUAUUUGAAAAAAUUAUAAAAAAAAUUAAAAAGACAAGUUACGCAUAAAAUAUUAAUCAUGUUUUAUCAUCUAACAACAAUGAAAAUUUAAAUUAUAAAAAAAUUUCAUAUAAGACGGAUAGUUAAAGUUGGACACAGAAAUCUAGAGUUUGCCUUUUU